CCUACGGGAGGCAGCAGUAAGGAAUAUUGGACAAUGCUCGCAAGAGUGAUCCAGCCAUGCCGCGUGCAGGAAGACGGCCCUAUGGGUUGUAAACUGCUUUUGAACUAGAGAAAACCCUUCUACGUGUAGAAGGCUGAUAGUAUAGUUAGAAUAAGCAUCGGCUAACUUCGUGCCAGCAGCCGCGGUAAGACGAAGGAUGCAAGCGUUAUCCGGAUUCAUUGGGUUUAAAGGGAGCGUAGGUGGACUGAUAAGUCAGUGGUGAAAUCUCUCGGCUUAACCGAGAAAUUGCCAUUGAUACUGUUGGUCUUGAGUACAGUUGCUGUGGGCGGAAUAUGACAUGUAGUGGUGAAAUACAUAGAGAUGUCAUAGAACACCGAUUGCGAAGGCAGCUCACAAAGCUGUAACUGACACUGAGGCUCGAAAGUGCGGGGAUCAAACAGGAUUAGAUACCCUGGUAGUCCGCACUGUAAACGAUGAUUACUCGCUGCUGGGAGGUAACUUUCAGUGGNGUAGCGAAGAGAGAAGUAAUACCACCGUGGGAGGUACGCCGGCGACGGUAGAACGUACGAAGUAGAGUUAGGACGGCGNGGAGGACGNGCGACGGACGACGACGAGGGGAGGUUAGG
rnacentral:rRNA from 1 species